rnacentral:rRNA from 1 species
UACAGAGGGUGCAAGCGUUAAUCGGAAUUACUGGGCGUAAAGCGUGCGUAGACGGUUAUGUAAGUCGGGUGUGAAAGCCCCGGGCUCAACCUGGGAAUUGCAUUCGAGACUGUGUAGCUAGGGUACGGAAGAGGGAAGCGGAAUUUCAGGUGUAGCGGUGAAAUGCGUAGAUAUCGUAAGGAAGACCAGUGGCGAAGGCGGGUCUCUGGACAGUUCCUGACGCUGAGGCACGAAGGUCAGGGGAGCAAACGGG